rnacentral:rRNA from 1 species
GACGAACGCUGGCGGCGUGCUUAACACAUGUAAGUCGAACGGAAAGGCCCUGCUUUUGUGCGGUGCUCGAGUGGCGACCGGGUGAGUAACACGUGGGUUACCUGCCCUUGCCUUUGGGGUAACUUCAGGAAACUGGGGCUCAUACCGGAUAGGAGCUCCUGCUGCUUGGUGGGGGUUGGAAAGUUUCGGCGGUUGGGGAUGGAAUAGCGGCUUAUUAGCUUGUUGGUUGGGUAGUGGCUUACCAAGGCAUUGAAGGGUAGCCGGGCUGAGAGGGUGACCGGCCAAACUGGGACUGGGAUGCGGCCCAGACUCCUACGGGAGGCAGCAGUGGGGAAUAGUGCACAAUGGGCGGAAGCCUGAUGCAGCAACGCCGCGUGCGGGAUGACGGCCUGCGGGUUGUAUUCCGCUUUCGCCUGUGACGAAGCGUGAGUGACGGUAAUGGGUAAAGAAGCACCGGCUAACUACGUG